rnacentral:lncRNA from 1 species
AUGAGGAAGCCCUACAGUACCGGUGUGCUACUCCUUUUCCCAGAGAUCUGCCAUUUUUCUGCACCGGCAGAAGCAACCGAGUGCAACCUAUUAUUUCCCAAAGAAGGACUUGGAGCUGCUGAUACACGACACACCAGAUAGGUGUGAAUAUCUUAUUGUUUAUUAUGCUUUGGUUAGAACAGACUUCGUUUGAGAAGUCACAUUUAAUUCAUGUCCACUGAUGUCAUAUGAUGCCUUUCUUGUUUAUUAAACAGAAAAAAGGCUUAGUUUUACCAGUACACAAGAGUAAUAUUCCACAACUGCUUGAAGAAG